CCCUUAGAUGUUCUGGGCCGCACGCGCGCUACACUGAUGCAUUCAACGAGUCUAAAACCUGGUCUGAUAGGGCUGGGUAAUCUUUUGAAUGUGCAUCGUGAUUGGGAUAGAUGAUUGCAAUUCUUCAUCUUCAACGAGGAAUGCCUAGUAAACGCAAGUCAUCAGCUUGCAUUGAUUACGUCCCUGCCCUUUGUACACACCGCCCGUCGCUCCUACCGAUUGAAUGUUCCGAUGAAUACCAUGGACUGAGAGUAUGAAUGGGUUCGCCAAUUUCUGCUUCUCGGGAAGUGGAGUAAAUCUUAACAUUUAGAGGAAGGAGAAGUCGUAACA
rnacentral:rRNA from 1 species